rnacentral:rRNA from 1 species
CACGUAGGGCGCGAGCGUUGUCCGGAAUUAUUGGGCGUAAAGAGCUCGUAGGCGGCCUGUUGCGUCCGCUGUGAAAGCCCGGGGCUUAACCCCGGGUCUGCAGUGGAUACGGGCAGGCUAGAGGUAGGUAGGGGAGAAUGGAAUUCCCGGUGUAGCGGUGAAAUGCGCAGAUAUCGGGAGGAACACCGGUGGCGAAAGCGGUUCUCUGGGCCUUACCUGACGCUGAGGAGCGAAAGCGUGGGGAGCGAACAGG